UUAUGGUUAGUAAAUACUCCCUCCGUUCCACUAAGAUGAAUUUUUUAGAAAUUUCACAUUCUUUAAGAAAUAUUGUAUAAAAAUAAUUUUAACCUCUUAAUAUACUUUAAAAAUAAUAAUAAAUAUUUAUCUAAUUAUUUAGUAAGGAUAAAACGGGAAAACAGUUUUAAAAUUUGCAUUGGAAAUAUAAAACUUCUAUUUUUGUAAGACAAAUAUUUUUCCUAGAAAAUUUCUCUUUAUGGGACAGAGGGAGUAAUUAUGUUUUAUAUAUAUCUAGAUUUUAUGAUUAAGUUUAAUAAGAAGACAGAUUUUAGAAAUUUCAUCCUUAGUUUACAGAGAAAUUCUAUCCAUUCAAAUCUGUAAACAUUGGAAAGAAUACGAAUCAAGAUCAUUUGAGAUACUCACAAUAUGAACAGUUGUCACAUAUCAUAAGGAAGAUUUCU
rnacentral:sRNA from 1 species